AUACAGAGGGUGCAAGCGUUAAUCGGAAUUACUGGGCGUAAAGCGCGCGUAGGCGGUUUUGUAAGUCGGAUGUGAAAGCCCUGAGCUCAACUCAGGAACUGCAUUCGAUACUGCAUAACUAGAGUAUGGUAGAGGGAAGUGGAAUUCCAGGUGUAGCGGUGAAAUGCGUAGAUAUCUGGAGGAACAUCAGUGGCGAAGGCGACUUCCUGGACCAAUACUGACGCUGAGGUGCGAAAGCGUGGGGAGCAAACAGGAUUAGAAACCCUUGUAGUCC
rnacentral:rRNA from 1 species